rnacentral:lncRNA from 1 species
AGAACUUCCUUGGCAACUGGAUGGAUGGAUCUAUCUAUCAAAUGUCAAGGCUCCAAAUUAAAGAGUACCCUGAAUUGGAUGGCUCCUGUCUCUGUACAUCAAGUUUUAAGAAUUCCUUUCUGAAAUAUCAUGCUCUGAUUUCACCACUAUUGUGGAUACUGAAUUCUUUCUGAAUUUCCUACCUCCUACCCUUCCAAUUUGGUUGGAGUUGAC